UAAUGGCGAAUGAACAGGGAAAAGCUCAGGCUGGAAACCAGAGCUCCGGUUCUGGGUUGUAGCUUGCAGACAAAGCGCUAUCGGCGGCUCGAGCGUAAGCCUCUUGGAACAGAGCGUGUGCCCAGGUGAGAAUCCUGUGUUUCGCUUGAUGUCCGCCGUAUACGGUGCUUGCUCUCAGAGUCACGCUCCUCGGAAUUGGAGCGUAAAUCAGGUGGUAGAUUUCAUCUAAAGCCAAAUACAGGCUCGAGACCGAUAGCGAACAAGUACCAUGAGGGAAAGAUGAAAAGGACUUUGGAAAGAGAGUUAAAAGUGCUUGAAAUCGCUGAAAGGGAAGCGAAUGGAACCACAUUCAUGGCUGAGAUUGCUGUAAGUGCUUGUGAAUGCUAGUCGCUCUGAUUGGGUGUGAGCAGGUACUUGCAGUGUUUCUUAGCUUGUGUGUCACUUGCCACAUAUGUGUGAGGAUGGCCUUUUGCACGCGCUCUCUGCUCGCGGGUAGAGAUUUGUGCUUUCUGGGAUUCACGCGUAUAUGGCAUGCUGAUUCAGUGGUUCCUUUCGACCCG
rnacentral:rRNA from 1 species